rnacentral:rRNA from 1 species
CACGUAGGAGGCAAACGUUAUCCGGAUUUACUGGGCGUAAAGCGCGUGUAGGUGGUUCUGUAAGUAGGGCGUGAAAGCUCCCGGCUCAACUGGGAGAGGCCGUUCUAAACUGCAGAGCUAGAGGAUGGUAGAGGGAGGUGGAAUUCCAGGUGUAGCGGUGGAAUGCGCAGAUAUCUGGAGGAACACCAGUGGCGAAGGCGGCCUCCUGGACCAUUCCUGACACUCAGACGCGAAAGCUAGGGUAGCAAACGGGAUUAGAUACCCCUGUAGUCCCU